rnacentral:rRNA from 1 species
UUCGGGACGCCGGCGAGUGGCGAACGGGUGAGUAACACGUGGAGACCUGCCCUGGGGUGGGGGAUAACAGCUAGAAAUGGCUGCUAAUACCGCAUACGCCUUACGAGGGAAAGAUUUAUUGCCCCAGGAGGGUUCCGCGUCGGAUUAGCUUGUUGGUGGGGUAACGGCCUACCAAGGCGACGAUCCGUAGCUGGUCUUAGAGGAUGAUCAGCCACACUGGGACUGAGACACGGCCCAGGCUCCUACGGGAGGCAGCAGUGGGGAAUAUUGCGCAAUGGGGGAAACCCUGACGCAGCGAUGCCGCGUGGGUGAAUAAGGCCUUAGGGUUGUAAAGCCCUUUCAGUGGGAACGAUGAUGACGGUACCCACAGAAGAAGCCCCGGCUAACUCCGUGCCAGCAGCCGCGGUAAUACGGAGGGGGCGAGCGUUGU